AACAUAACUUUUGCAAUAACCACCUCAAAUCUCUCAUAUAUCAAUCAAUUUGUCCUUCCUAAAUAAGAAAUGUUUCAGACAUGUACGAGUGCCCCUGUCCUAUUAAGUUCACACAAAAAACUGCACAUAUAUCGCCAUCAAGAACAUUAAUCUAUCCACUUGAAAUCAUAACAAAACAUACAUUUGAAAUUGCAUGAUCCCAAACCGAACACAACAGAAGAGACACACACAUACAUAUCUUAUCAAGUGUAACAUAUCAUGAGAGGAUCAUUUUUGGUACAUCUCAUGCAAGACUAAUUAUGAAGGACCAAAAUAAUCGCCGUUUCAGCAAGCAUUGCCAGUAAAAAUUGCGUCAAAUUUUGCUACUUGAUGGUACACAACAAAAAAGCCUCUGUUACUAGUGCGCUCAUCGAGCUUCUUGUGCUGGGAGAGAUCAGACCUAAUAACAAAAUAAAAUUCAGUUAGCACAGGUCCGUACAAGUGUCAAGCAUUCAUAAUCUUAUUACUCAUGAUCUAAUCGAAUGAAGAUGCAUCAACAAUGCCAUCUGACUGUGUGCUGCACAUACCACAUGGAAGGAAAAUAGAGAUGAAUCAAAUUCAUCCAAAAACACAACCUAACGUAUGCUUCUAUGCUGGAACUCUCAGAGCCGCCAGCUAUUUUGUUGCUCAUCCUAACUUACUAAAUAUGAAAUAGAUUAUAAAACAUUAUUUAUCUCGUACAAAAAACAAUAGUGCAUUCUGUUCAUAUGGUGAGACUGGCAACCAAUGGCAGAAGUAGGCAACAAAAAUAUUAACAUAUAAAGUUCAGAUAAACUUAAGUUAACACGCAAAAUGCAGAAUCAUAUUAGACAUCAAUCAUAUAAACCUCGGGAUUUGACUGAAAAGAGCUCAUAAUUUUUGUUCAGAUACUCCACUGGGCAAAAAUAUCUAGCAAUAUUAUUUGGAAACACACUGGGCUUGCAUAUUUUUUUGAUCAGGUACCUUUAUAAAAUUUUAACAAAAAAUAUUCAUUGACAAAAAUAUUUUUCGGCAAACAAGUGCAACUACUUUUCUUUCUCUGGAAGAAGACAUAUCCAAUUGCAAGGUUGCAAAUUAGAAGGUACAGACAACGAGAGUCUUAUUUUACAAGCGGAAGGUUACAAUGAAUGCAAACUGAACACAAGAAUGAUAUCCUUCAACCUCUCGGUGAAAUAUGUACACUAUAUAUUCUUUAACUAUUUUGGUCAGGUGAAUUCGACAUUUAAAAAUCUAAAACAACACACGAACAUGCUGCUAGAUAUAUUAAACUAGUUCAUGGAUGUAAGCGCGGUUUUGAGCUGACCACAUUUUGACCUCCAAGCUUUGAUGUUGUCUGAUACUAAUAUUUUGGGCACCGAUAAUCGUACAUGUUAGGACAGACUACAAAAGCUUAACAUAAACUUCUGAACUAAUUUCACCAGGACAACGAGAGCCACUAUAGGAUGUUCAUGUGUGGCCGUCGUUCUCCCUCAUGGGGCAUUGUCUUUGGAGCAACGGCUGGAUGGAGAACACAGGUGGUGGAGCGGUUUUUCAUUUACCGCAUCAAAGACGGCGGAUCUCGGCGGCGUGGUGCUCGGCGGCGUGGUGCAGUGGAGAUUCGAUGUCCGAUGCGCGUAGAUGGACUCGUGCAGGAGGAGGACACUGUCUGGCGUCAUGGUGGCAUCGAUGGCAAAGAGGUCUGGCAAGAUCGAUGCAUUAGUUUCUACUCUGAAGAUGAAUUGGUGGAAGAUGCCGGCGACGACACAUGAGAGUGUGUUGGACCGCUUUGAGCUCCAAACCCAGUAUGUGGGGUUUUACAUGUUAGGCAUUUGUGCAAUGUUUGUUUGGUAUUAGGCUCGUACUAUCGACAUCCUUUCAUCAUGUGGAUAGGUGUAGCGACAAAUGUAAUAAAUGCAUUGCUUGCGGACGUAUGAAAGUGAGACUUGGACCAUUGCAUGCGUGAGUUAUGAGCAUAUUUAACUAGAAAAAUAUCAAGUCACCGAAAAUUAUAUUUUAGAUGUAGUUUCUGAUGAUAUUAAUUCUUUUUUUCAUAUAGCUUAUAUUUUUUACUAGUUGAAAAUGGUUAACAUAUGAAACGACGAUUGAUUGAGUACACUAGUAGAAAACAGGGCAUUUUUCCUGGUUCGUAAGGGCCUUUAGUCCCGGUUCAUGAACCGGGACUAAUGGGUCGUUAUUAAUACCUCCCCCUUUAGUCCCGGUUCAAACACGAACCGGGACAGAUGGUCCUCCACAUGGCCGGUGCGCCAAGCCCAGGCAGGGGGGCCGUUGGUCUCGGUUGGUGGCACCAACCAGGACCAAAAGGCAUCUACGCGUCAGCACUCCAGUAGCUGGGGUUUUUGUUUUUUNNNNNNNNNNNNNNNNNNNNNNNNNNNNNNNNNNNNNNNNNNNNNNNNNNNNNNNNNNNNNNNNNNNNNNNNNNNNNNNNNNNNNNNNNNNNNNNNNNNNNNNNNNNNNNNNNNNNNNNNNNNNNNNNNNNNNNNNNNNNNNNNNNNNNNNNNNNNNNNNNNNNNNNNNNNNNNNNNNNNNNNNNNNNNNNNNNNNNNNNNNNNNNNNNNNNNNNNNNNNNNNNNNNNNNNNNNNNNNNNNNNNNNNNNNNNNNNNNNNNNNNNNNNNNNNNNNNNNNNNNNNNNNNNNNNNNNNNNNNNNNNNNNNNNNNNNNNNNNNNNNNNNNNNNNNNNNNNNNNNNNNNNNNNNNNNAUAGAGAGAAGUGUCCUCUCUUAUGUCCGUGCUUGGUCGACGCUACGUACUAUAUACAUAAGUGAUCGAGAGAACCAUUGAGUACAGAAGUUCGUCAUGCAUACUGAGAGAAGUGAUCGAUCGACCUCUCCUUCUCUGAGAGAUUGGUCGAACAACAAGUUUUCGUAUCAUGUAUCCGACGCUACUAGCUACAUACAUGUACAAUAUGUAUAAGAUCUCUUAAUUACAAUCCCUUAGCAUUUGAAAUCAACUUCCACAUGGUAUUCUCCGGCUUUAUUGAUGACACGGUCAAGAAAGAAUCCCGCCAAUUCCUCUUGAAUUGCUUUCAUGCGAUCUGGUUCUAGGAGUUCAUUCCGCAUCUGCCACGUCUAAUUUGAAGAAGGGGGUUAAUUAAUACAUAUAUAUGAAUGAAACUCAACAGAAAUGAUGGUGUAAUAAAAUGAAAUUGUGAAUAUUAUUGCUUACGCAUUUCAUAUUGUCUUUUAGAGUAGCCUCUCUUGUUUUUCAAAGUCGCAUUGUGGAUGAACUCGCACACGUAGUAUCAACAGAAAUCAUUUCCUUGUUCCUGCCACAAGCACUUUAUGAGAAAUAGAGGUCAAUCAAACUGAUAAUGAAGCAUUAUAAAUGGCAUUGAUGAAAGUAUAGCUAUAGAAUCAACGGGAGAUGUGCGCAACUAGCUAGCCAGUAGUACUUACGUUCGGGUAUGUAUAUCGCAGCUCCUUCGGCAGUCCCGGAGCUUCUGCGGUGAACUGUUUCUAAACCCUGCAAGACAAAGAAAAUAAUGAUUAUUACUUGAGAUAUCAGGAAAUGAACAAAAAGUUGCCAAUAUAGUGUGAUAAUGAUCGAUUGAACUUACUUGUUGAGCAAUUCAGUCAUGUCCGCAUAGGUUUCAGGAUCUUUCCGUCUCGACUCUAAGACGGUUACUAGUCCCCGCUCAAGCUUAAUCUCCAGAAGAACAUAGUGGUACCUGCGCACGCAUGCAUAACUCAUCAGUUACAUUACUAUAACCUCGCUCGAGUAAUAAGGGAAACCGAAUAUGCACACGACAGUAACACUCACUUGCCGUUGUAAGGAAAGAGUACGGUAUCUUUGUUUUGAUUUUUGAUCAACGAUCGUAGCAAGUUGUCCUCGGCCUCUUUGACGUCCUUUUUAACCAGAAAUUCAUCUAUGAUAUUUGUGUUAAUGAACCCAAUAUCAUAAAUUUCUUGUUUUUUGCACUCGACGAUCUUCAAUCUGCAUAAUAUAUUGAGGAUAAUUAAUUGUAAAUACAUGCAAUGAAAGAGCCAAGCUAUGUAUAGAGACUUAAUGACAGAAAUAGUACUUACAGACAGUAUCAAAAGACCAUUAGUUUAUCGAGGGCCUUUUGAUUGAAGAACGCGAAGAACUCAUCAAAUGGAACAGUCAACAGAUCAGUUGCAACGAGGUCGUGCUCCUCUUUAAUAUUCAGAUACAAAGCAUUCGCCCCCCCAGACUCUCUGCAGGUUUUCAUGUACCAAUUAUGGAAUCUUCGCAUCAUUGUUGUCAGAGAUUUUUCAUCUUUGACGAGAGGCUUCCCGUACUCGUAUCUAUGUUCGUCCACCUCCAAGAAAUCAGGAAGUUGAUCGUCAGACAGGUGAUCUUCAAGAUUGCCAUAACCGGCCACCAUCCCCGGAGCAUUAGACACAUUGAGCGGGGGGCACGAUUGCUGUGCUUGUUCGCCGAGCUGGGCAAUUUUUUUCCCCUCUGCUCGUUCUUUUAACCUUUUAUCACUGACAGUACUUCUCCUUGUGAGAUUUGGAGCUUAUGGUCAUUUUUAUGACAAGCUCGAGUUUAUCGAAAACGGAGUUCUCAUGCAUCUUCUAUGAUGUUUUCAAUGUUGGAGGAUAUGCCAGUUCUUCUCUGUUGGAGGUUUCACUCCUUUGUUUGUUAGGCAUACCUCCCCUGUUUUGAUGCUACUCGUUGUCUUGUUUCCAACAAGCUUGAGUUUGCUCAAUUCGGAGCUCAUUUGUAGAAGUUAUGGCAGUUCUGGUUUUAUUAUUUCCCUCUGUUGUCUUCUCUGCAAAAUGAAGGACUCCUAGUGUUGCUAAUCUGGGACAUGCGGUAGUACUGCUCUCCGAAGCGGUAGUACCGCAGGCCCUUGCGGUAGUACCGAAGUCCACAUGCGGUAGUACUGCAGGUGCUCACGGUAGUAGCGCUCUGUGGGAGCGGUAGUACCGUGGCCUCAGGCCAGGCGCAGCUACUCGAGCGGUAGUAGGGGCGGAUGUAAUUUUUUACAUCCGUGCCCUACGCGGUAGUACCGUGCCUCGGGCGCGGUAGUAUCGUGGGUUCUGGCCAGGCUUAGCAGCAUGAGCGGAAGUAGGGGCGGAUGUAAUUUUUUACAUCCGCGCCCUAUGCGGUAGUACCGCUCUUCAUGUGCGGUAGUACCGUACCAGAUUUUUGCGCAGGUCCUCCCUCAGCGGAAGUAGGUACAGAAGUAAUUUUUUACUUUCGUUCUUUCUCUGCGCCUAGUGUUGCCUGCCUUACGGUAGUACCGUAGGGGCGGGCGGUAGUACCGCUCCGGCGGUUCUACCGCUCGUUGCCGUGUGCAACAGGCCUUCAUCUAGCCAGUGCUGCACAUGCGGUAGUACCGCUGUUGGAAAUAUGCCCUAGAGGCAAUAAUAAAAGGAUUAUUAUUAUAUUUCCUUGUUCAUGAUAAUUGUCUUUAUUCAUGCUAUAAUUGUAUUAUCCGGGAAUCACAAUGCACGUGUGAAUACAUAGACCACAAUACAUCCCUAGUAAGCCUCUAGUUGACUAGCUCAUUGGUCAACAGAUAGUCAUGGUUUCCUGACUAUGGACAUUAGAUGUCGUUGACAACGGGAUCACAUCAUUAGGAGAAUGAUGUGAUGGACAAGACCCAAUCCUAAGCAUAGCACAAGAUCGUGUAGUUCGUUUUGCUAGAGCUUUUUCCAAUGUCAAGUAUCUCUUCCUUAGACCAUGAGAUCGUGUAACUCCCGGAUACCGUAGGAGUGCUUUGGGUGUACCAAAUGUCACAACGUAACUGGGUGACUAUAAAGGUGCACUAUAGGUAUCUCCGAAAGUGUCUGUUGGGUUGACACGGAUCGAGACUGGGAUUUGUCACUCCGUAUUACGGAGAGGUAUCACUGGGCCCACUCGGUAGUGCAUCAUCAUAAUGAGCUCAAAGUGACCAAGUGUCUGGUCACGGGAUCAUGCAUUACGGUACGAGUAAAGUGACUUGCCGGUAACGAGAUUGAACGAGGUAUUGGGAUACCGACGAUCGAAUCUCGGGCAAGUAACAUACCGUCUGACAAAGGGAAUAGUAUACGGGGUUGCUUGAAUCCUCGACAUCGUGGUUCAUCCGAUGAGAUCAUUGAGGAGUAUGUGGGAGCCAACAUGGGUAUCCAGAUCCCGCUAUUGGUUAUUGACCGGAGAGCCGUCUCUGUCAUGUCUACAUGUCUCCCGAACCUGUAGGGUCUACACACUUAAGGUUCGGUGAUGCUAGGGUUGUAUGAAUAUGAGUAUGCAGCAAACCGAAUGUUGUUCGGAGUCCCAGAUGAGAUCCCGGACAUCAGAGGAGUUCCGAAAUGGUCCGGAGGUAAAAAAUUAUAUAUAGGAAGUGCUGUUUCGGCCAUCGGGAAAGUUUCGGGGUCAUCUGGUAUUGUAUCGGGACCACCGGAAGGGUUCCGGGGGUCCACCGGGUGGGGCCACCUAUCCCGGAGGGCCCCGUGGGCUGAAGUGGGAGGGGAACCAGCCCCUAGUGGGCUGGUGCGCCCCUCCUGGGCCCCCCUUGCGCCUAGGGUUGGAAACCCUAUGUGGGGGGGGGGCGCCCCACUUGCCUUGGGGGGCACUCCACCCCCCCUGGCCGCCGCCCCCUUGGGAGAUUGGAUCUCCUAGGGACGGCGCCCCCCUGGGGGCCUAUAUAAAGGAGGGCAGGGGGGAGGGCAGCCGCACCCUGUGUCUUGGCGCCUCCCUCCCCCUGCUACACCUCGUCCUUCUCCCGCAGCAGCUUGGCGAAGCCCUGCCGGAGUUCUGCUGCAUCCACCGCCACGCCAUUGUGCUGCUGGAUGAUCAUCAACCUCUCCUUCCCCCUUGCUGGAUCAAGAAGGAGGAGACGUCAUCCGCUCCAUACGUGUGUUGAACGCGGAGGUGCUGUCCGUUCGGCACUUGGUCAUCGGUGAUUUGGAUCACGGCGAGUACGACUCCAUCAUCACCGUUCUCUCGAACGCUUCCGCACGCGAUCUACAAGUGGUAUGUAGAUGCAAUCUCUCUCCCAUGACUCGUUGCUUAGAUGAACUCAUAGAUGGAUCUUGGUGAAACCGUAGGAAAAUUUUUAUUUUUCUGCAACGUUCCCCAACAGUGGUAUCAGAGCCAGGUCUAUGCGUAGUUCUCCAUUGCACAAGUAGAACACAAUUUUGUUGUGGGCGUAGAUCUUGUCAACUUGCUUGCCGCUACUAGUCUUUUCUUGCUUCAGCGGUAUUGUGGGAUGAAGCGGCCCGGACCGACCUUACACGUACGCUUACGUGAGACAGGUUCCAUCGACUGACAUGCACUAGUUGCAUAAGGUGGCUAGCCGGUGUCUGUCUCUCCUACUUUAGUUGGAGCGGAUUAGAUGAAAAGGGUCCUUAUGAAGGGUAAAUAGAAGUUGACAAAAUCACGUUGUGGUUAUUCGUAGGUAAGAAAACGUUCUUGCUAGAACCCAAUUGUAGCCACGUAAAAGAUGCAACAACAAUUAGAGGAUGUCUAACUUGUUUUUGCAGCAAUUGUCAUGUGAUGUGAUAUGGCCAGAAGUUGUGAUGAAUGAUGAAUGAUAUAUUGUGAUGUAUGAGAUCAUGUUCUUGUAAUAGGAAUCACGACUUGCAUGUCGAUGAGUAUGACAACCGGCAGGAGCCAUAGGAGUUGUCUUUAUUUUUUGUAUGACCUACGUGUCAUUGAAGAACGCCAUGUAAAUUACUUUACUUUAUUGCUAAACGCGUUAGCCAUAGAAGUAGAAGUAGUCGUUGGCGUGACAACUUCAUGAAGACACGAUGAUGGAGAUCAUGAUGAUGGAGAUCAUGGUGUCAUGCCGGUGACGAAGAUGAUCAUGGAGCCCCGAAGAUGAAGAUCGAAGGAGCUAUAUGAUAUUGGCCAUAUCAUGUCACUACUUUAUAUAAUUGCGUGUGAUGUUUAUUAUGUUAAUGCAUCUUGUUUACUUAGAAUGACGGUAGUAAAUAAGAUGAUCCCUUAUAAUAAUUUCAAGAAAGUGUUCCCCCUAACUGUGCACCAUUGCUAAAGUUCGUCGUUUUGAAGCACCACGUGAUGAUCGGGUGUGAUAGAUCCUUACGUUCACAUACAACGGGUGUAAGACAGUUUUACACAUGCAAAACACUUAGGGUUAACUUGACGAGCCUAGCAUGUACAGACAUGGCCUCGGAACACAAGAGACCGAAAGGUCGAACAUGAGUCGUAUGGAAGAUACGAUCAACAUGGAGAUGUUCACCGAUGAUGACUAGUCCGUCUCACGUGAUGAUCGGACGGCCUAGUCGACUCGGAUCGUGUAACACUUAGAUGACUAGAGGGAUGUCAAUCUGAGUGGGAGUUCAUUAAAUAAUUUGAUUAGAUGAACUUAAUUAUCAUGAACUUAGUCUAAAACCUUUGCAAAAUAUGUCUUGUAGAUCAAAUGGCCAACGCUCAUGUCAACAUGAACUUCAACGCGUUCCUAGAGAAAACCAAGCUGAAAGAUGAUGGCAGAAAUAUUCGGACUGGGUCCGGAACCUAAGGAUCAUCCUCAUAGCAGCCAAGAAAGAUUAUGUCCUAGAAGCACCGCUAGGUGAAGCACCAAUCCCAGAGAACCAAGAUGUUAUGAACACUUGGCAAUCACGUGCUGAUGAUUACUCCCUCGUUCAGUGCUGCAUGGUUUACAGCUUAGAACCGGGGCUCCAAAAGCGUUUUGAGCGACCCAGAGCAUAUGAGAUGUUCGAGGAGCUGAAAAUGGUUUUUCAAGCUCAUGCACGGGUCGAGAGAUAUGAAGUCUCUGACAAGUUCUAUAGUUGUAAGAUGGAGGAAAACAGUUUUGUCAGUGAGCACAUACUCAAAAUGUCUGGGUUGCACAACCGCCUGUCCCAGCUGGAGAUCAACCUCCCGGACGAGGCGGUCAUUGACAGAAUCCUUCAGUCGCUCCCACCGAGCUACAAGAGCUUUGUUCUGAACUACAAUAUGCAGGGGAUGGUGAAGACCAUUCCUGAAGUAUUUUCAAUGCUGAAGUCAGCAGAGGUUGAAAUAAAGAAAGAACAUCAAGUGUUGAUGGUCAAUAAGACCACUAAGUUCAAGAAGGGCAAGGGUAAGAAGAACUUUAAGAAGGACGGCAAAGAUGUUGCCGCGCCCGGUAAGCCAGUUGCCGGGAAGAAGUCAAAAAUGGACCCAAGCCUGAGACUGAGUGCUUUUAUUGCAAAGGGAAGGGUCACUGGAAGCGGAACUGCCCUAAAUACUUAGCGGACAAGAAGGCCGACAACACUAAAGGUAUAUGUGAUAUACAUGUAAUUGAUGUGUACCUUACCAGUACUCGUAGUAACUCCUGGGUAUUUGAUACUGGUGCCGUUGCUCAUAUUUGUAACUCACAGCAGGAGCUGCGGAAUAAGCGAAGACUGGCGAAGGACGAGGUGACGAUGCGCGUCAGGAAUGGUUCCAAGGUCGAUGUGAUCGCCGUCGGCACGCUACCUCUACAAUUACCCACGGGAUUAGUUUUAAACCUUAAUAAUUGUUAUUUAGUGCCAAGUUUGAGCAUGAACAUUGUAUCUGGAUCUCCUUUAAUACGAGAUGGCUACUCAUUUAAAUCCGAGAAUAAUGGUUGUUCUAUUUAUAUGAGAGAUAUGUUUUAUGGUCAUGCCUCAAUGGUCAAUGGUUUAUUCUUAAUUAAUCUCGAACGCAAUGUUACACAUAUUCGUAGUGUGAAUACCAAAAGAUGUAAAGUUGAUAACGAUAGUCCCACAUACUUGUGGCACUGCCGCCUUGGUCACAUUGGUGUCAAGCGCAUGAAGAAGCUCCAUGCUGAUGGACUUUUGGAGUCUCUCGAUUAUGAAUCAUUUGACACAUGCGAACCAUGCCUCAUGGGCAAAAUGACCAAGACUCCGUUCUCCGGAACUAUGGAGUGAGGAACCAACUUAUUGGAAAUCAUACAUACUGAUGUGUGUGGUCUAAUGAGCAUUGAGGCUCGCGGAGGAUAUCGUUAUGUUCUCACUCUCACUGAUGACUUAAGUAGAUAUGGGUAUGUCUACUUGAUGAAACACAAAUCUGAGACCUUUGAAAAGUUCAAGGAAUUUCAGAAUGAAGUAGAGAAUCAACGUGACCGAAAGAUAAAAUUCUUACGAUCGGAUCGUGGAGGAGAAUAUUUAAGUCACGAAUUUGGUACACACUUAAGAAAAUGUGGAAUCAUUUCACAACUCACGCCGCCUGGAACACCUCAGUGUAACGGUGUGUCCGAACGUCGUAAUCGCACUCUAUUAGAUAUGGUGCGAUCUAUGAUGUCUCUUACCGAUUUACCGCUAUCAUUUUGGGGAUACGCUCUAGAGACAGCUACAUUCACUUUAAAUAGGGCACCGUCUAAAUCCGUUGAGACGACACCGUAUAAAUUAUGGUUUGGCAAGAAACCUAAGCUGUCGUUUCUAAAAGUUUGGGGAUGCGAUGCUUAUGUCAAGAACUACAACCUGAAAAGCUCGAACCCAAGUCGGAAAAAUGCGUCUUCAUAGGAUACCCUAAGGAAACCAUUGGGUAUAACUUCUACCUUAGAUCCGAAGGCAAGAUCUUUGUUGCCAAGAACGGAUCCUUUCUGGAAAGGGAGUUUCUCUCGAAAGGAGUAAGUGGGAGGAAAGUAGAACUCGAUGAAGUACUACCUCUUGAACCGGAAAGUAGUGCAGCUCAGGAAAAUGUUCCUGUGGUGCCUACACCGACUAGAGAGGAAAGUAAUGAUGAUGAUCAAGGUACUUCGGAUCAAGUUGCUACUGAACUUCGUAGGUCCACGAGGACACGUUCCACACCAGAGUGGUAUGGCAACCCUGUCCUGGAAAUCAUGUUGUUAGACAACGGUGAAACUCCGAACUAUGAAGAAGUGAUGGAGGGCCCAGAUUCCAACAAAUGGCUUGAAGCCAUGCAAUCCGAGAUAGAACUCAUGUAUGAAAACAAAGUAUGGACUUUGACUGACUUGCCCGAUGAUCGGCGAGCGAUAGAAAACAAAUGGAUCUUUAAGAAGAAGACAGACGCGGAUGGUAAUGUCACCAUCUAUAAAGCUCGACUUGUCGCUAAGGGUUAUCGGAAAGUUCAAGGGAUUGACUACGAUGAGACUUUCUCUCCCGUAGCGAAGCUUAAGUCCGUUUGAAUCAUGUUAGCAAUUGCCGCAUACUAUGAUUAUGAAAUAUGGCAGAUGGACGUCAAAAUGGCAUUCCUUAACGGUUAUCUUAAGGAAGAGCUGUAUAUGAUGCAGCCGGAAGGUUUUGUCGAUCCUAAGAAUGCUAACAAAGUAUGCAAGCUCCAGCGAUCCAUUUAUGGGCUGGUGCAAGCAUCUCGGAGUUGGAACAUUCACUUUGAUGAGAUGAUCAAAGCGUUUGGGUUUAUGCAGACUUAUGGAGAAGCCUGCGUUUACAAGAAAGUGAGUGGGAGCUCUGUAGCAUUUCUCAUAUUAUAUGUAGAUGACAUACUUUUGAUGGGAAAUGAUAUAGAAUUCUUGGACAACAUUAAGGCCUACUUGAAUAAGUGCUUUUCAAUGAAGGACCUUGGAGAAGCUGCUUACAUAUUAGGCAUCAAAAUCUAUAGGGAUAGAUCGAGACGCCUCAUAGGUCUUUCACAAAGCACAUACCUUGAUAAGAUUUUGAAGAAGUUCAAAAUGGAUCAGUCCAAGAAAGGGUUCUUGCCUGUAUUGCAAGGUGUGAGAUUGAGCUCGGCUCAAUGCCCGACCACGGCAAAAGAUAAAGAAGAGAUGAGCGUCAUCCCCUAUGCCUCAGCCAUAGGAUCUAUUAUGUAUGCCAUGCUGUGUACCGGACCUGAUGUAAACCUUGCCGUAAGUUUGGUAGGAAGGUACCAAAGUAAUCCCGGCAAGCAACACUGGACAACGGUCAAGAAUAUCCUGAAGUACCUGAAAAGGACAAAGGACAUGUUUCUCGUUUAUGGAGGUGACGAAGAGCUCGUCGUAAAGGGUUACAUCGACGCUAGCUUCGACACAGAUCUGGAUGACUCUAAGUCACAAACCGGAUACAUGUAUAUGUUGAAUGGUGGGGCAGUAAGCUGGUGCAGCUGCAAGCAGAGCGUCGUGGCGGGAUCUACAUGUGAAGCAGAGUACAUGGCAGCCUCAGAGGCAGCACAUGAAGCAAUCUGGGUGAAGGAGUUCAUCGCCGACCUAGGAGUCAUACCCAAUGCGUUGGGGCCGAUCAAACUCUUCUGUGACAACACUGGAGCUAUUGCCCUUGCCAAGGAGCCCAGGUUUCACAAGAAGACCAGGCACAUCAAGCGUCGUUUCAACUCCAUCAGUGAAAAUGUUCAAGAUGGAGACAUAGAUAUUUGCAAAGUACAUACGGAUCUGAAUGUCGCAGAUCCGUUGACUAAACCUCUUCCGCGAGCAAAACAUGAUCAACACCAGAACUCUAUGGGUGUUCUAUUCAUAACAAUGUAACUAGAUUAUUGACUCUAGUGCAAGUGGGAGACUGUUGGAAAUAUGCCCUAGAGGCAAUAAUAAAAGGAUUAUUAUUAUAUUUCCUUGUUCAUGAUAAUUGUCUUUAUUCAUGCUAUAAUUGUAUUAUCCGAAAAUCGUAAUGCACGUGUGAAUACAUAGACCACAAUACGUCCCUAGUAAGCCUCUAGUUGACUAGCUCGUUGGUUAACAGAUAGUCAUGGUUUCCUGACUAUGGACAUUAGAUGUCGUUGACAACGAGAUCACAUCAUUAGGAGAAUGAUGUGAUGGACAAGACCCAAUCCUAAGCAUAGCACAAGAUCGUGUAGUUCUUUUUGCUAGAGCUUUCUCCAAUGUCAAGUAUCUCUUCCUUAGACCAUGAGAUCAUGUAACUCCCGGAUACCGUAGGAGUGCUUUGGGUGUACCAAACGUCACAACGUAACUGGGUGACUAUAAAGGUGCACUACAGGUAUCUCCGAAAGUGUUUGUUGGGUUGACACGGAUCGAGACUGGGAUUUGUCACUCCGUAUUACGGAGAGGUAUCACUGGGCCCACUCGGUAGUGCAUCAUCAUAAUGAGCUCAAAGUGACCAAGUGUCUGGUCACGGGAUCAUGCAUUACGGUACGAGUAAAGUGACUUGCUGGUAACGAGAUUUAACGAGGUAUUGGGAUACCAACGAUCGAAUCUCGGGCAAGUAACAUACCGUCUGACAAAGGGAAUAGUAUACGGGGUUGCUUGAAUCCUCGACAUCGUGGUUCAUCCGAUGAGAUCAUCGAGGAGUAUGUGGGAGCCAACAUGGGUAUCCAGAUCCCGCUGUUGGUUAUUGACCGGAGAGCCGUCUCGGUCAUGUCUGCAUGUCUCCCGAACCCAUAGGGUCUACACACUUAAGGUUCGGUGACGCUAGGGUUGUAUGAAUAUGAGUAUGCAGCAAACCGAAUGUUGUUCGGAGUCCCGGAUGAGAUCCCGGACAUCAGAGGAGUUCCGGAAUGGUCCGGAGGUAAAGAAUUAUAUAUAGGAAGUGCUAUUUCGACCAUCGGGAAAGUUUCGGGGUCAUCCGAUAUUGUACCGGGACCACCGGAAGGGUCCCGGGGGUCCACCGGGUGGGGCCACCUAUCCCGGAGGGCCCCGUGGGCUGAAGUGGGAGGGGAACCAGCCCCUAGUGGGCUGGUGCGCCCCCCCGGGCCUCCCUUGCGCCUAGGGUUGGUAACCCUAGGUGGGGGGGCGCCCCACUUGCCUUGGGGGGCACUCCACCCCCCUGGCCGCCGCCCCCUUGGGAGAUUGGAUCUCCCAGGGCCGGCGCCCCCCCUGGGGGCCUAUAUAAAGGAGGGCAGGGGGGAGGGCAGCCGCACCCUGUGUCUUGGCGACUCCCUCCCCCUGCUACACCUCGUCCUCCUCCCGCAGCAGCUUGGCGAAGCCCUGCCGGAGUUCUGCUGUAUCCACCACCAUGCCGUUGUGCUGCUGGAUCAUCAUCAACCUCUCCUUCCCCCUUGCUGGAUCAAGAUGGAGGAUACGUCAUCCGCUCCGUACGUGUGUUGAACGCGGAGGUGCUGUCCGUUCGGCACUUGGUCAUCGGUGAUUUGGAUCACGGCGAGUACGACUCCAUCAUCACCGUUCUCUCGAACGCUUCCGCACGCGAUCUACAAGUGGUAUGUAGAUGCAAUCUCUCUCCCAUGGAUCAUUGCUUAGAUGAACUCAUAGAUGGAUCUUGGUGAAACAGUAGGAAAAAAUUUAAUUUUCUACAACGUUCCCCAACAACCGCAACCUGCAGCGGUAGUACCGUAGCCAACCGCGGUAGUACCGCAGCUCCAUGCGGUAGUACCGCGUCGUGCGGAGUGAGGGGAUAACGGUUGGAUUUCUCCCCACCUAUAAAAGGGGGUCUUCUUCCCCAUUCAGACUAAUCCUUUUGAGCUCGUGUUCUUCCCCCAUUGUUGACCUUCUUCGAGCUUGCUAACUCUCAAUCCCUCCAAUGAUUCUUGCUAGUUCUUGAGGGAAAAGAGAGAGGAGAUCUAGAUCCACGUUUCCUCCAAUCACUUUCUCCUCUAAGUGAGGGGAACCCCUUGGAUCUAGAUCUUGGAGUUCUUCGUGAUCUUCUUUCGUUCUUCCUCUCAUUUUCCUCCCUAGCAUUAGUUGCUUUGGUGGGAUUUGGGAGAGAAGGACUUGGGCACUCAGUGUGCCCUUGCCAUUGCAUUUGGUGCAUCGGUUUGAGUUCUCCACAUGAUACGUGGAUGUUACAAGUUGAGAAGCUUAUUACUCUUGGGUGCUUGGUGCCCUUGAGCUUGUUCCUCUUGGGUGCUUGGGCGCCCUAGACGGUUGGUGGUGUUCGGAGCUCAAUCGUUGUGGUGUAAAGCUCCGGGCAAGCGUCGGGGGUCUCCAAUUAGGUUGUGGAGAUCGCCCCGAGCAAUUUGACGGGUUCCGGUGACCGCCCUAAGGGUUGCCAAAGUGUACGGGUUCGGUGACCGCCCCCAAGGGUUGCCAUUUGUAUGGGUUCGGUGACCGCCCUCAAGGGUCCCUUAGUGGAAUCACGGCAUCUUGCACUGUGCGAGGGCGUGAGGAGAUUACAGUGGCCCUAGUGGCUUCUUGGGGAGCAUUGUGCCUCCACACCGCUCCAAACGGAGAUUAGCAUCCGCAAGGGUGUGAACUUCGGGAUACAUCGUCGUCUCCACGUGCCUCGGUUAUCUCUUACCCGAGCCCUUUACUUAUGCACUUUACUUUGUGAUAGCCAUAUUGUUCUUUGUCAUAUAUCUUGCUAUCACAUAGUUGCUUAUCUUGCUUAGCAUAAGUUGUUGGUGCACAUAGGUGAGCCUAGUUGUUGUAGGUUUUGUGCUUGACAAAUUAACUAUUAGGUUUAUUCCGCAUUUGUUCAAGCCUCUACCGUAAUUAUUUUAAAAUGCCUAUUCACCCCCCCUCUAGGCGACAUCCAUGAUCUUUUAGCUGGGCUUCGAGAUAUGUCUGUUUAGUAAUGCGCUGAUAGUUGGUUCUCGGCAGAGACUUUGGUGGUUUCCUCAGGGCAUCGAUAGUGCGCUUUGCUUUCACCGGAUCUACCUUCUCAUCCGGAGGUGAAUGUCUCUUUGCUUUCACCCCUUCAAAGAACUCCUUCACGUGGGUCCGCACAAUCGUAUCGUUUUCCUCCUCGGUCCUCUCGUAUGGUAACUUCUCUAGAGGCUUGUGAGGUGGACCGUAUCUGUAUUGCCUCCCUCCCGCCUCUGGUUUUGCUGCUAGACACCGGAGCAGAUGGAGCGGCUGCGGCAUCUGUCUUCUUUCAUGCUUGCUUACGAGGCGGAGGAGAAGGAGUACGACGCGCCGGAGCAGUCGAGGCGGCGGCGGGUCUCUUCCGCCCUUGCUGGCGAGGCGGAGAAGGAGGAGGCUGCUGGCUGCUCGGGAGCGCCGGCACAGGCGGAGAAGGAGGCGGAGUGCCGCCACGCGCCGGAGAAGGAGACGGAGUGCCGCCACACGUGCCCUGAUCGUCACUCGCCAGAGGAGGAGGCGGUGGAGGAGGCGGAGUGCCCUGACUCGCCGGAGGAGGAGGAGGAGGCGGAGGCGUCCAGUUCGGAAGGUUGAUGAGCUCCUUCCUCCAUAGGCAUGGAGUCUUCAGAGCAGAACCCAGCCUAGUCCCCCCUUCACCGGUAGGGUGGUCAAGCAGGAGGUCCUCAAAUCCCUCCAUUAUUUCAUCCACCAUCACCCUAGCAUAUCUUUCUGGAAUCGACCGGCAGUGAUAAGUUGCUUCGGGUCCAGUAGGAUAAACAGAGCCAACAUCCGCCUUGACCUUCAAAUUCAUCCACUGCAUCAUAAUGUGGCAAUUUUGAGACUCCGUGAUAGCAUCCACGGGAUAGCUGGCAAGAGCCGUCAAGACAUGCUCCGGCUGAAGCAGCUCGGUGGAAGCCACGCUGCUUCUCCGCUGAGAUGGCGGGGUAGCUUCGGGGGAAGCUUCGGCAGGUCGUUUGCUGCGAUCUACUGCUUCUCGUUCCCCUUCUCAUUCGUCUAGCCCCAUUACCCUUUCGUGCAGCGCCUGCAGUUGGCCCUGCUCCAGUUUCUUCCUCCUCUCGUGGGUUUUGUAACCCCCUGUGUCCGGAAAACCAACCUUCCAUGGAAUGGAGCCUGGCGUGCCUCGUGUUCGUCCAGGGUGCUCAGGAUUCCCGAGGGCCAUUGUGAGCUCGUCCUUCUCCCUGUCUGGUACGAACGUCCCUUGCUGCGCUGCAUUGAUAUAAUGUCGAAGGUUCUUGACUAGUAUUUCCAGUUGCUCGUCCGUCCAACAGCACCUCCCUGAUACAGGGUCCAAGGUUCCGCCAGCCCCGAAGAAUCAAGUCCGACAACGGUCUGGCCAUCUCAUUGUCUCUGGUUCGAUCCCUUUUUCAAGCAGAUCAUUCUCAGCCUUGGACCAAUUAGGCUGGGCUUUGAGGUAGCCACCUGACCCUGUGCGAUGGUGAAGCUUCUUAUUCGCAGCAUUUUGCUUGUUUGUUGACGACAUCUUCUUACUCUUUGUCAAUGUCUUGUGGGCCACAAAUGCGGGCCAGUGAUCUUUGAUCUUCUCAUAUUUGCCGAUGAAUUCUGGUGUCUUUUUUUUGUCGACAAACUUGUUCAGCUCUUUCCUCCACCUCCUGAAUAGGGUUGCCAUCUUCUUAAGAGCACAAGACUUGAUUAAUUGCUCCUUAACUGGCUUCUCCAGAUCCUCCUCUGGAGGUAGGGUGAAAUUUGCCUUCAGCUGAGUCCAAAGAUCUUCUUUCUGCAUAUCAUUGACAUAAGACACCUCAGGGUCUUCCUCCUUAGGCUUAUACCAUUGCUGGAUGCUGAUCGGGAUCUUGUCCCUAACAAGAACCCCGCACUGAGCAACAAAUGCGUUCUUUGACCGGAUGGGUUCAAUCGGUUCGCCGUCGCGCGCGAUUGCUGUGAUCUCAAACCUUUCAUCUGAGCUCAACUUUUUCUUCGGGCCUCGUCUCCUUACCGAAGUUGUGCUCGAUCAGGAGGGCUAGAAAAAGGAAGAAAGUUAAUUAAUAUGUGUACAUAUACCAAACAAUGAAUGCAUCAAUUAACUAGUUAGCACGGGCUUAACUAAUAUAUAUAUACCUGGCCGGACUCGGUUCGGUCACGGGAGCAGUCAGCACGGUCUCCUUCUUGUACCUCCAUUGGGUCAUCACCGGAGCCAUCAUGAACAUAGCCCUCUUCUUGUACCAGCAUUAAUGGGCCGGAGCCAUCAUGAACAUAGCCCUCUUCUUCACCCAGUCCUUCCUGAUCAACGACGUCGAUGAAAAAUGACGCAAUGACAUCAGUUCCUUCUGCGAUUAUCUCCCCCAACAUCGCUUCUGUUGCUUCGUCUCGGUAGUGCUCCAUAGUUUCUGCAAAUAUUUACAAUAUGUCAAUUAUUAUUCAAACAUGGUACAGAUGGAUAUAUAUAUAUAUAUAUAUAUAUAUAUAUAUAUUAGUGGCAAACAUAGAACUAGCUAGCUAAUCACAAUAAGGAAUCAUGUUAGUGGCCUCGACGCUGCUUCUCUAGGGUUUGGGGUCGCCUCGACACAACGCUUCAAGGGUUUGGGGUGGCCUCGACGACAACGCUCUUUUAACUUGGUAAAUUUGGGUGGCCUCGAGAGUUUUGGUCGAGCGAGAGGGCCGAGGAGGGUGCUGCCGUUGUAUAGGUUAUCACGGUCGAGAGGGGGUAUAUAUAUCGACCGCCCCUCAUGUCGAAGUUAUCUCGAGGGGGCGGCGAGGGCGAAGGCGAGCAGCCUGACGACGACAGACCCGAUAAAACAUAAGAAAACAAAGAAGAAAUAAAAAGAGGAGAAGAAGAAAGGAAUAGAGGAGAAGAUCGAAGAAAAAAAGAAGAAAAAAAAGAGGAGAAGAAGAAAGGAAUAGAGGAGAAGAAGAAAAAAAAAUAGAAAAUUCUAUUUUUUUUCUUCUUCUCCUCUAUUCCUUUCUUCUUCUCCUCUUCCUUUUCUUCUUUNNNNNNNNNNNNNNNNNNNNNNNNNNNNNNNNNNNNNNNNNNNNNNNNNNNNNNNNNNNNNNNNNNNNNNNNNNNNNNNNNNNNNNNNNNNNNNNNNNNNNNNNNNNNNNNNNNNNNNNNNNNNNNNNNNNNNNNNNNNNNNNNNNNNNNNNNNNNNNNNNNNNNNNNNNNNNNNNNNNNNNNNNNNNNNNNNNNNNNNNNNNNNNNNNNNNNNNNNNNNNNNNNNNNNNNNNNNNNNNNNNNNNNNNNNNNNNNNNNNNNNNNNNNNNNNNNNNNNNNNNNNNNNNNNNNNNNNNNNNNNNNNNNNNNNNNNNNNNNNNNNNNNNNNNNNNNNNNNNNNNNNNNNNNNNNNNNNNNNNNNNNNNNNNNNNNNNNNNNNNNNNNNNNNNNNNNNNNNNNNNNNNNNNNNNNNNNNNNNNNNNNNNNNNNNNNNNNNNNNNNNNNNNNNNNNNNNNNNNNNNNNNNNNNNNNNNNNNNNNNNNNNNNNNNNNNNNNNNNNNNNNNNNNNNNNNNNNNNNNNNNNNNNNNNNNNNNNNNNNNNNNNNNNNNNNNNNNNNNNNNNNNNNNNNNNNNNNNNNNNNNNNNNNNNNNNNNNNNNNNNNNNNNNNNNNNNNNNNNNNNNNNNNNNNNNNNNNNNNNNNNNNNNNNNNNNNNNNNNNNNNNNNNNNNNNAAAAACAUAUAGCAACAUAUGAACAAAAACAUAUAGCCACAUACAUACACAUAUAUUAUAUAUAUAUGAAAAAAUUAAACUAAUAAAAAAACAGAGCCGAGCAGAGGGGCAUGGCGGCAGCGGUGGCGCCGGCGGGGCAGGGCAGGGGUGCAGGUGCGCGAGGCAGGGCAGGGGUGCGGGAGCGAGGCAGGUGCUCACAGGGGGGUGGCGGGGCAUGGCGGGCGGCGUCGGGGCGCGGGGAGCGGCGCCGGCGUCGGGGCAGAUGGCGUCGAGGGCGGUGCUCUUUUGAUCUUGGUCAAUCGUGUAAAAUGUAUUCUCAUUUAUCUCGUAUCCUUUCCAAAUCGUAAUAGUCGAAGAUGGUCCCCUGGACAACAAGUACAGCUCAUCACAAAUAGUGUUGUCACCUCUGAGACGUGCUUCCAACCAACUGCUGAAAGUCCUGAUGUGUUCACAUGUAAUCCAGUCAUCGCACUGCUCCGGGUGUUUGGAGCACAGACUGUUCUUGUGUUCAUCGACAUACGGGGUCACCAAGGUAGAGUUCUGUAGAACUGUGUAGCGUGCUUGAGACCAAGAAUAUCUGUCCCUGCAUAUUAUUGAGUCCCUUCCAAGCGUGCCUUUUCCAGUCAGUCUUCCCUCAUACCGUGAUUGAGGGAGACCUAUCUUCUUAAGGCCAGGAAUGAAGUCAACACAAUACCCGAUGACAUCCUCUGUUUGAUGGCCCAUGGAGAUGCUUCCUUCUGGCCUAGCGCGGUUAUGGACAUAUUUCUUUAGGACUCCCAUGAACCUCUCAAAGGGGUACAUAUUGUGUAGAAAUACGGGGCCCAGAAUGACAAUCCCGUCAACUACAUGAACUAGGACGUGCGUCAUGAUAUUGAAGAAGGAUGGUGGGAACACCAGCUCGAAACUGACAAGACAUUGCGCCACAUCACUCCUUAGCCUUGGUAUGAUUUCUGGAUCGAUCACCUUCUGAGAGAUUGCAUUGAGGAAUGCACAUAGCUUCACAAUGGCUAAUCGGACGUUUUCCGGUAGAAGCCCCCUCAAUGCAACCGAAAGCAGUUGCGUCAUAAUCACGUGGCAGUCAUGAGACUUUAGGUUCUGAAACUUUUUCUCUGACAUAUUUAUUAUUCCUUUUAUAUUCGACGAGAAGCCAGUCGGGACCUUUAUACUAAGCAGGCAUUCAAAGAAGAUUUCCUUCUCUUCUUUGGUAAGAGCAUAGCUGGCAGGACCUUCAUACUGCUUUGGAGGCAUGCCAUCUUUUUUGUGCAAACGUUGCAGGUCCUCCCGUGUCUCAGCUGUAUCUUUUGUCUUCCCAUACACGCCCAAGAAGCCUAGCAGGUUCAUGCAAAGGUUCUUCAUCACGUGCAUCACGUCGAUCGAAGAGCGGACCUCUAGGUCUUUCCAGUAGGGUAGGUCCCAAAAUAUAGAUUUCUUCUUCCACAUGGGUGCGUGUCCCCCAGCGUCACUCGGAACAGCUAGUCCGCCGGGACCCUUUCCAAAGAUUACGUGUAAAUCAUUGACCAUAGCAAGUACGUGAUCACUGGUACGCAUGGCGGGCUUCUUAUGGUGAUCUGCCUCGCCUUUGAAAUGCUUGCCUUUCUUUCGACAUUGAUGGUUGGUCGGAAGAAAUCGACGAUGCCCCAGGUACACAUUCUUGCUGCAGCUUCCCAGGUAUAUACUAUCGGUGUCAAGUAAAGAGUGCGUGCAUGCGUGGUAUCGCUUGUUUGUCUGUCCUGAAAGGUUACUGAGAGCGGGCCGAUCGUUGAUGGUCACGAAUAGCAAUGCCUUUAGGCAAAAUUCCUCCUGUUUGUGCUCAUCCCACGUACGUACACCAUUUCCAUUCCACAGCUGUAAAAGUUUUCCAACUAAUGGCCUUAGGUACACAUCAAUGUCGUUGCCGGGUUGCUUAGGGCCUUGGGUGAGAACUGGCAUCAUAAUGAACUUCCGCUUCAUGCACAUCCAAGGAUGAAGGUUAUACAUACACAGAGUCACGGGCCAGGUGCUGUGAUUGCUGCUCUGCUCCCGAAAGGAUUAAUGCCAUCCGCGCUUAAAGCAAACCAUACGUUCCUUGGGUCACUUGCAAACUCAUCCCAGUACUUUCUCUCGAUUUUUCUCCACUGCGACCCGUCAGCGGGUGCUCUCAACUUCCCGUCUUUCUUACGGUCUUCACUAUGCCAUCGCAUCAACUUGGCAUGCUAUCCGUUUCUGAACAGACGUUUCAACUGUGGUAUUAUAGGAGCAUACCACAUCACUUUUGCAGGAACCCUCUUCCUGGGGGGCUCGCCGUCAACAUCAGCAGGGUCAUCUCAUCUGAUCUUAUACUGUAAUGCACCACAUACCGGGCAUGCGUUCAGAUCCUUGUACGCACCGCGGUAGAGGAUGCAGUCAUUAGGGCAUGCAUGUAUCUUCUGCACCUCCAAUCCUAGAGGGCAUACGACCUUCUUUGCUGCGUAUGUACUGUCGGGCAAUUCGUUAUCCUUUGGAAGCUUCUUCUUCAAUAUUUUCAGUAGCUUCUCAAAUCCUUUGUCAGGAACAUCAUUCUCUGCCUUCCACUGCAGCAAUUCCAGUACGGUACCGAGCUUUGUGUUGCCAUCUUCGCAAUUGGGGUACAACCCUUUUUUGUGAUCCUUUAACAUGCGAUCGAACUUCAACUUCUCCUUUUGACUUUCACAUUGCGUCCUUGCAUCGACAAUGACCCGGCGGAGAUCAUCAUCAUCGGGCACAUCGUCUGGUUACUCUUGAUCUUCAACAGCUUCACCUAUUACAGCAUCAUCGUGCACAUCGUCUGGUUCCUCUUGAUGUUCAGUAGCAUCACCGUAUUCAGGGGGCACAUAGUUGUCAUCGUACUCUUCUUCUUCGCCGUCUUUCAUCAUAACCCCUAUUUCUCCGUGCCUCGUCCAAACAUUAUAGUGUGGCAUGAAACCCUUGUAAAGCAGGUGGGUGUGAAGGAUUUUCCGGUCAGAGUAAGACUUCGUAUUCCCACAUAUAGGGCAUGGACAACACAUAAAACCAUUCUUCUUGUUUGCCUCAGCCACUUCGAGAAAAUCAUGCAUGCCCUUAAUGUACUCAGAGGUGUCUCUGUCACCGUACAUUCAUUGCCGGUUCAUCUGCGUGCAUUAUAUAUAAUUAAGUGUGUCAAAAAUCAUUACAGAACAUCAUGAAUAGAUAAUUAAGUGACCAAAUUAAUAGAAGUUCACCAUCACAUUAAAACCAAAGUACAUACAUAGUUCUCAUCUUCAAGCGAAAAUCAUUAUAGAACAACAUAAAGCUCUGCAGAGCAUCUAAAUUAAUUAAACCAUACAUUAAAACUAUGUAAAACAUUUCAAUGCGAAAACAAAUGCGAUCAUAAUCGCAACCAAGGUAUCAACUGAUCCAACGGCAUAAGAUACCAAGCCUCGGUAUGAAUGGCAUAUUUUCUAAUCUUUCUAAUCUUCAAGCGCAUUGCAUCCAUCUUGAUCUUGUGAUCAUCGACGACAUCCGCAACAUGCAACUCCAAUAUCAUCAUCUCCUCCUCAAUUUUUCUUAUUUUUUCCUUCAAGAAAUUAUUUUCUUCUUCAACUAAAUUUAACCUCUCGACAAUAGGAUCGGUUGGAAUUUCCGGUUCAACAACCUCCUAGAUAAAUAAAAUCUAUUUCACGUUGGUUGGCAUAAUUUUCAUAAACAAUAAAUGAACCAAUAGUUAUGAAAAGAUAAUAUAUACCACAUCCGAAUCAUAGACAGCACGAGGGCCGACGGGGGCGGAUACCAAAACCAUCGCACUAUAUAAGAUGCAAUAAUAAAAGUAAUAAAAUUAUACAAGUAUCUAUAUAAACAUACAAGUUAGAAUUUUUUUCCUUUCAGAAAGAAGAUAAGAACAAGAGGCUCACCACGGUGGUGCCGUCGACGAGAUCGGCGCGGGCGAUCGACGGCAGUGAAGACGGGGACGGGACGUGAUGGACCGCUAAACCUAGACAAAUAUUGAGAAAAAUGGAGCUUGGAGGUCGAGCUUGGAGAGGAGAAAUCUUAAGUAGUGUGGCUCGGGCAUUCCAUCGAACACCUCGUGUGCAUAGGAGGUGAGCUAGAGCACCACAAAGCUCUCUCCUCGCCGGCCACGAAAACAGAGCAGUGGGAUUGCUCUGCUCGCGGGCGAGGGGUAUAUAUAGGCAAUUAAUUGGUCCCGGUUCGUGGCAAGAACCGGGACUAAAGGGCAGCCUUUGGUCCCGGUUCAUGCCAACAACCGGGACCAAUGGUGUUGGGCCAGGAGCGAGGCACAUUGGUCCCGGUUCCUCCCACCAACCGGGACCAAAAGGUCCAGACGAACCGGGACCAAUGGCCCACGUGGCCCGGCCGGCCCCCGGCGCUCACGAACCGGGUCCAAUGCCCCCAUUGGUCCCGGUUCUGGAUUGAACCGGGACUAAUGGGCUGACCUGGCCAUUGCCCCCUUUUCUACUAGUGGUAGGAGGCAUCCGACAUGCAUAUAUGUUACUAUGUUUGUCUCCAGCCAAUCCAAUCAAUGCGUCUUCCUCGACAUUAGUCCAUUAACUCAAACUCAAUUCUUUUGUCAAGUUAGUAAGGCCACAUGGUUGCCACAUCAUCGAGGGAGGACUAGUAUAGAAACAGGGCCUAUGGUGAAAGAAUAGAAAAAAUGAACCUGAGCCGUUGAAUGGAAGAUGACUGGUACAGACUUAGGUGGAGAGUUCUCAGUGUACAUUUCUUGAAAACCCCUUAGUACUAGUUACAUAUAGAACAUAACUUUUGCAAUAACCACCUCAAAUCUCUCAUAUAUCAAUCAAUUUGUCCUUCCUAAAUAAGAAAUGUUUCAGACCUGUACGAGUGCCCCUGUCCUAUCAAGUUCACACAAAAAACUGCACAUAUAUCGCCAUCAAGAACAUUAAUCUAUCCACUUGAAAUCAUAACAAAACAUAAAUUUGAAAUUGCAUGAUCCCAGACCGAACACAACAGAAGAGACACACACAUACAUAUCUUAUCAAGUGUAACAUAUCAUGAGAGGAUCAUCUUUGGUACAUCUCAUGCAAGACUAAUUAUGAAGGACCAAAAUAAUCGCCGUUUCAGCAAGCAUUGCCAGUAAAAAUUGCGUCAACUUUUGCUACUUGAUGGUACACAACAGAAAAGCCUCUGUUACUAGUGCACUCAUCGAGCUUCUUGUGCUGGGAGAGAUCAGACCUAAUAACAAAAUAAAAUUCAGUUAGCACAGGUCCGUACAAGUUUCAAGCAUUCAUAAUCUUAUUACUCAUGAUCUAAUCGAAUGAAUAUGCAUCAACAAUGCCAUCUGACUGUGUGCUGCACAUACCACAUGGAAGGAAAAUAGAGAUGAAUCAAAUUCAUCCAAAAACACAACCUAACGUAUGCUUCUAUGCUGGAACUCUCAGAGCCGCCAGCUAUUUUGUUGCUCAUCCUAACUUACUAAUAAUGAAAUAGAUUAUAAAACAUUAUGUAUCUCGUACAAAAAACAAUAGUGCAUUCUGUUCAUAUGGUGAGACUGGCAACCAAUGGCAGAAGUAGGCAACAAAAAUAUUAACAUAUAAAGUUCAGAUAAACUUAAGUUAACACGCAAAAUGCAGAAUCGUAUUAGACAUCAAUCAUAUAAACCUCGGGAUUUGACUGAAAAGAGCUCAUAAUUUUUGUUCAGAUACUCCACUGGGCAAAAAUAUCUAGCAAUAUUAUUUGCAAACACACUGGGCUUGCAUAUUUUUUUGAUCAGGUACCUUUAUAAAAUUUUAACAAAAAAUAUUCAUUGACAAAAAUAUUUUUCGGCAAACAAGUGCAACUACUUUUCUUUCUCUGGAAGAAGACAUCUCCAAUUGCAAGGUUGCAAAUUAGAAGGUACAGACAACGAGAGUCUUAUUUUACAAGCGGAAGGUUACAAUGAAUGCAAACUGAACACAAGAAUGAUAUCCUUCAACCUCUCGGUGAAAUAUGUACACUAUAUAUUCUUUAACUAUUUUGGUCAGGUGAAUUCAACAUUUAAAAAUCUAAAACAACACACGAACAUGCUGCUAGAUAUAUUAAAUUAGUUCAUGGAUGUAAGCGCGGUUUUGAGCUGACCACAUUUUGACCUCCAAGCUUUGAUGUUGCCUGAUACUAAUAUUUUGGUCACCGAUAAUCUUACAUGUUAGGACAGACUACAAAAGCUUAACAUAAACUUCUGAACUAAUUUCACCAGGACAACGAGAGCCACUAUAGGAUGUUCAUGUGUGGCUGUAUCACAAGCAUAUAUACCUCUAUAACAUCGCGAGGCAACGAGAGCCACUAUAUGAUGUUCCUGUAUCUCAAGCUAAGGCUGAAACAUCAUCUCGCCAGAAUCUAUUCCAUACUAUUUUUUGACACACCACACGACAUCCGUAUAUGCAUGCUAAAUAUUCAGCUUUAUCAGCCUCUCACUAAAAUCUACUCUGUUCAUGUGUUUCUGCUCCGACUCUCUCUGCACUCCAACGAAAAUAAAAGAAGUGGGCUUGACCGUUUCAUCAGAUAUAGUUCAAACCACGGGCGAGGCGCUUUGAAGCUAAACCUCCAUUGAACCCCUUUUUUGGGGAAAGUACGAGAUGCAUAUUUAGAAGUAUCAACAAAUUCUGAACAAAAUCCAACAUGUGCAUAUACAGUACAUAUGUGUAAACUUUCAUUAGAUGGAUAUGCCUCUUCCUGAACACAUCACAGUAUAAAAUAUGAGCUACAAUGACCAAUGUUGACAAAAUGUGCAAUCUUCAGACACAUGUGUUCUUGGAUAGCAUACCAGAACUAAGCCAUAGCACUAAGCAUCAUGCUAAGCGUCACAGGAGAAGGGAGCUGCCAUUAGAGAAUAAUCUACAGGAGGGAGAGGGGGGAGGGAAGUGGGAGAAACGGAGCUGACCUUGUUUCCGAUCCUGCAAGGCGAAGGAGGCGAGGAGAUCAAACACCACCGGCUUGCCCCCGGUGAGCUAUUGCUGGAUCUAGGAGCAACGGGGAGGAGAAGAUAGUGGCAGCAUCACCAUGGACUAGAUCACUACUAGCUUGCCUCCGGAUGUAGGAAUGUGCUGAGCGGGCGGGACACCCGCGGCCACCAGGGACGAGGAGACCGUGGCGGCGGCUACCUGGUCGCUGACGACGAUGUGCAGCGCGAUGAUGUGGUGGCCUGGGGACGGAGCCAAGCGACGUAGAUGUCGUAGUAGGAGGGGAGGAGGCAUGGAGUAGGUGUCGUGGGAGUAACCAUCGUCCACCAUGGAAGCACCGGAUCUGCCUAU
rnacentral:lncRNA from 1 species